AUUUGUUCUUCAUUAUAACUGCCGAGACUACCCAGAGUCAUUCACAGAUGAUUUCAUAGAGGUGGUUCGUGCAGCAUCAGUCGGAGACAGGGCUACUGUUCUGCAGAAAUCUGAAGUUCCUUACUGGUUUUGAAGCCAAGGCCUUCGAGGAUGCACACUUAGAGGCAGUUAUGAUCCUCGGCGAAGCGUUUGCUUCUACUGAAGCGUUUGACUUUGGCACUCAGAGUACCACACAGCACAUCCAGAGCCUGAUCCCUGUCAUGCUUCGACACCGUCUCACUCCUCCGCCAGAGGAGUCUUACUCUCUGCACCGCAAAAUG